rnacentral:rRNA from 1 species
GACAGAGGGGGCAAGCGUUGCUCGGAAUUACUGGGCGUAAAGGGCGCGUAGGCGGAAUGGCAAGUCGGUCGUGAAAUCCUUCGGCUCAACCGAAGAACGUCGAUCGAAACUGCCGUUCUUGAGGAUUGCAGAGGAGACUGGAAUUCCCGGUGUAGCGGUGAAAUGUGUAGAGAUCGGGAGGAACACCGGUGGCGAAGGCGGGUCUCUGGGCAAUUCCUGACGCUGAGGCACGAAAGCCAGGGGAGCAAACGGG